rnacentral:rRNA from 1 species
UACGGAGGGUGCGAGCGUUUGUCCGGAAUCACUGGGCGUAAAGGGCGCGUAGGCGGUCUGCUAAGCGUGUGGUGAAAGCUCGGGGCUCAACCCCGAGUCUGCCAUGCGAACUGGUGGACUUGAGCACUGUAGAGGCAGGUGGAAUUCCGGGUGUAGCGGUGGAAUGCGUAGAGAUCCGGAAGAACACCAGUGGCGAAGGCGGCCUGCUGGGCAGUUGCUGACGCUGAGGCGCGACAGCGUGGGGAGCAACAGG